rnacentral:rRNA from 1 species
GAUGAACGCUGGCGGCGUGCUUAACACAUGCAAGUCGAACGGAAAGGCCCUGCUUUUGUGGGGUGCUCGAGUGGCGAACGGGUGAGUAACACGUGAGUAACCUGCCCUUGACUUUGGGAUAACUUCAGGAAACUGGGGCUAAUACCGGAGAGGAUCUCCUGCUGCAUGGUGGUGGUUGGAAAGUUUCGGCUGUUGGGGAUGGACUCGCGGCUUAUCAGCUUGUUGGUGGGGUAGUGGCUUACCAAGGCUUUGACGGGUAGCCGGCCUGAGAGGGUGACCGGCCACAUUGGGACUGAGAUACGGCCCAGACUCCUACGGGAGGCAGCAGUGGGGAAUAUUGCACAAUGGGCGGAAGCCUGAUGCAGCAACGCCGCGUGCGGGAUGACGGCCUUCGGGUUGUAAACCGCUUUCGCCUGUGACGAAGCGUGAGUGACGGUAAUGGGUAAAGAAGCACCGGCUAACUACGUG